GCGGGCGUAGCUCAGUGGUAGAGCACCUGCCUUCCAAGCAGGCCACACGGGUUCGAUUCCCGUCGCCCGCUCCA
rnacentral:tRNA from 1 species